rnacentral:rRNA from 1 species
CCUACGGGAGGCAGCAGUAGGGAAUCUUUCACAAUGGGCGAAAGCCUGAUGGAGCAACGCCGCGUGCAGGAUGAAGGCCUUCGGGUUGUAAACUGCUUUUAUAAGCGAGAAAUAUGAUGGUAACUUAUGAAUAAGGAUCGGCUAACUACGUGCCAGCAGCCGCGGUCAUACGUAGGAUCCGAGCAUUAUCCGGAGUGUCGGGGUGUAAAGAGUUGCGUAGGUGGCAUAAUAAGUAGCUAGUGAAAUCUGGUGGCUCAACCAUUCAGACUAUUAGCUAAACUGUUAAGCUCGAGACCGUUAGGGGUAACUGGAAUUUCUAGUGUAGGAGUGAAAUCCGUAGAUAUUAGAAGGAACACCAGUAGCGUAGGCAGGUUGCUGGGACGGUUCUGACACUAAGGCACGAAAGCGUAGGGAGCAAACGGGAUUAGAUACCCGGGUAGUC